GGAAUUGAGAAGGGACUUUCCAGAGAACAUUAGCGUGCAGAGUGUGGAAAGGGAAUAAAAGCAUAUGCAAAUGGGGUUUUUAGUCUCUUCCUUUCUAAUCAUAGACGUUGCUGGAGAGCUUGAGUGUUCCUCUUGAAGACAGGGGAUGGAUGUUCCCCCUGACACUGCAUGCCAUCUCCUUUCUGACAGCAGGGCCUAGAUUGAAGGAGUGACAUAUGGAAAAUAAAAUCAUGCAAAAGGGUUGACUGAAGAGGAGGAAGGAAACAUGAGGAGGAAGAAAAAAAAACCCAUGGAAUUGGAAAAGAUAAAGUAAAAUGAAUUUUUAGGAUGCCACCGUGGCCAUCUUUCCAUCUUUUGAUCCUCUGACAAAGUCUUCUGGAUCUGAAAAUCAUCUGUAUCUUCAAAGGACCACCUCCUUGGAAUCUCUCAACAAGCCCUGGCUUUCAUAUAUGUAGAAAAUCUACUCACCAAAUACAUUGGAAAAGCAAUAUUGACUCUGUGUCUAUGGCUUCUGCUUUGAAAUAUUACCUUUCUGGGAAGUAUCCUAUCAAAAAUUAUGGGAGAUCAGGGCAGCUAGAUGGUAUAGUAGAUAUGCUGCUGAAUCUGGAGUCAGCAAACACAUGGGAAAAGCACCAGACUUUGAAGCGAGAAGAAGGGAGGCAGAAUUUAGAGAACCUGUAUCUUC
rnacentral:lncRNA from 1 species